GAUGAACGCUGGCGGCGUGCCUAAUACAUGCAAGUCGAGCGAACAGACGAGAGUGCUUGCACUCUCUGACGUUAGCGGCGGACGGGUGAGUAACACGUGGGUAACCUACCUAUAAGACUGGGAUAACUUCGGGAAACCGGAGCUAAUACCGGAUAAUAUUUAGCUUCGCAUGAAGCAAUAGUGAAAGACGGUUCUGCUGUCACUUAUAGAUGGACCCGCGGUGUAUUAGCUAGUUGGUGAGGUAACGGCUCACCAAGGCAACGAUACAUAGCCGACCUGAGAGGGUGAUCGGCCACACUGGGACUGAGACACGGCCCAGACUACUACGGGAGGCAGCAGUAGGGAAUCUUCCGCAAUGGACGAAAGUCUGACGGAGCAAUGCCGCGUGAGUGAAGAAGGUUUUCGGAUCGUAAAACUCUGUUGUAAGGGAAGAACAAGUACGUUAGUAACUGAACGUACCUUGACGGUACCUUACCAGAAAGCCACGGCUAACUACGUG
rnacentral:rRNA from 1 species